CAAGAACAUAUAAAGAAGAAACUGGGAUUUGGUGAGGUGUAGGGGUUUUUAUUGAUGCCUUGCUAUUUGUUGUGUGUCAAAUUUGUCAAGGACAGAAGCGAGGCAGAAGACAAAGAGAAUUAGGGAACAGUGCCUUGAACUCAUUUAAACUACAGCUUUUCCAACCACAAGUCUCUUCACGGUCAUGCAAAAACAAAUUCAAUAUGUAACCAUGUUCAAGGUCUCAGCAACUUUCGCUUCAAAGG
rnacentral:misc_RNA from 1 species